AGAGCUCCGAGAGCGCUACAACUACGCGCUCCGUAAACAAGUGGGUGGAAACCGGCCCUAGCGACUCCACCCAGAAACGGGGAAAACGAACCAAUGGGCGCCGGGAAUACGUAAGGACCCAACGUCCUCCAGUCCCGGGCCGAGGCGUAACCCUUCAGCCAAUCCGGGACUAAGGGCAAAACCAAUAGACUCGUUGUUGGAGGGGGUGACUUGGAGAGCAUCCCGGGAAGCUAGGCGUUUUGGGUGAAGCCAUGAGGGAAAACAAGGCAGAAAUAAAGAGGUGACCCUGAGUCCUGCUUCCCUGAGAAUCCUCUCCUCAAAAUGUGUCUAUUGAUACCAUCCAUUUGGUGAACUGUUGUCAAGUACCAGAAGGAAGAAGAGGCCCUUCUCCCUUCCUAAGCUGUCGCCUGACCUGGUCAUGUAGGGGGAACCUUCAUUUAACCCUUCUCAAUCGGUUUCCCUUAUCCUCAGUUCUUUGAAGGCCAAACUGCCCAAACAAAUCCUCUACAUGUGUUCCUCCUGUUUCUCCAAGGAUCACCUUGAUAAGCUCAGUCACCCUUUCUCACUCUUGUUU
ensembl:lncRNA